GAUGAAAUCACAAUAAUCUAGAUCGUGGGAUAUUCGUCGUGGUUGUGGUGGGGCUGCUAUUCUCCUGCUAAUUUUACACUCUCGCCAUCCUGGAUACCGAAGGAAUAUGAAGAGGCGUAAUGCUGAUAUAGCCAAACUGAGGAGACCUCUGAAGAAGGCGAAAAUUGGGGAUGGGGUGUAUGGAAGCACAUUUGCGUACCUGAAGAUGGUGAUGCUAUGGACCGCAGUUCUGAUGUGUGACUUCCUCUUUGAGCUGAGGUUUGAAUACUUCUGGCCAUUCUGGAUGUUUGCCAGAUCAGUCUACGACUCAUUCAGAUACCAGGGGCUGGCGUUCUCCUUGUUCUUCGUCUUGAUGACUCUGACAUCGGACAUGAUCUGCUACAUAUUCAUACCAGUCCACUGGCUCUUCUUCGCUGCAAGCACAUACGUCUGGGUGCAAUAUGUGUGGCACGCAGGUGAGAUAGCCUCUACUAACGG